GACGAGCGCUGGCGGCGUGCUUAACACAUGCAAGUCGAACGGAAAGGCCCUGCUUUUGUGGGGUGCUCGAGUGGCGAACGGGUGAGUAACACGUGAGUAACCUGCCCUUGACUUUGGGAUAACUUCAGAAAACUGGGGCUAAUACCGGAUAGGAGCUCCUGCUGCAUGGUGGGGGUUGGAAAGUUUCGGCGGUUGGGGAUGGACUCGCGGCUUAUCAGCUUGUUGGUGGGGUAGUGGCUUACCAAGGCUUUGACGGGUAGCCGGCCUGAGAGGGUGACCGGCCACAUUGGGACUGAGAUACGGCCCAGACUCCUACGGGAGGCAGCAGUGGGGAAUAUUGCACAAUGGGCGGAAGCCUGAUGCAGCAACGCCGCGUGCGGGAUGACGGCCUUCGGGUUGUAAACCGCUUUCGCCUGUGACGAAGCGUGAGUGACGGUAAUGGGUAAAGAAGCACCGGCUAACUACGUG
rnacentral:rRNA from 1 species